rnacentral:rRNA from 1 species
GUGGGGAAUCUUCCGCAAUGGACGAAAGUCUGACGGAGCAACGCCGCGUGAGUGAAGAAGGUUUUCGGAUCGUAAAGCUCUUUCGUUAGGGACGAACGUGCUCUUUGUGAAUAAUGAGGAGUAAUGACGGUACCUAAAUAAGAAGCCACGGCUAACUACGUGCCAGCAGCCGCGGUAAUACGUAGGUGGCAAGCGUUGUCCGGAAUUAUUGGGCGUAAAGCGCGCGCAGGCGGGAUAUCAAGUCUGUCUUAAAAGUGCGAGGCUCAACCUCGUGAGGGGACAGAAACUGGUAUUCUUGAGUGUCGGAGAGGAAAGCGGAAUUCCAAGUGUAGCGGUGAAAUGCGUAGAGAUUUGGAAGAACACCAGUGGCGAAGGCGACUUUCUGGACGAUGUCUGACGCUGAGGCGCGAAAGCUAGGGGAGCGAACGGGAUUAGAUACCCUGGUAGUCC